rnacentral:ribozyme from 1 species
UGCCCAGCAACUCCUAUCCCUACCUCCUCGCGGUACUGGCCGGGGUACGAGUAACCUAAGGGAAGAUCGGGUAACCAACCCCCGGUGGGAACUUUGGUCGUAUGCUGACAGGAAAGG